ACAAGUAGAUAAAGAUGUGUUAUGUUUAGUUAACGGGACAUGCACAAAAGGAUUGCCUAUCACACACGCUAGGCAAAAAGUCUCGUAGAAACAGAUGUCUGUGGCUAGAAGAAAAUAAGGGAGAGAAUAAGAGAGCACGUCACCAAUUGACUUGAAAGCCCAGAGGGCGUUAUUGUGUGGGAAAACAUGGAUAUUGACUGCAAAGUGAUUCAGAAGACUUACACUGAAUGUGAAAAAGCUUGGCAGAACAACCUAGCCAAUUUAUUUUGCUGUUUUCCUUUUUAGAUCUGUAUAAGAGUGAUAUAUGUGAUAGAUGUUUAAAUUAAUCUAAAAGGGCUCUUUCAAUAAGGAAACUAAUUGAGAGAAGUAUUGUGUCAUAUUUUAAUUAGGAACAUUCUUUUUCCUUAACGAUAUGUCAAAUGAUGACGUAUCUUACAACGAAAGGCAUCUCAGAUUUAAAGAAAUACAAGUUUCACACACUUGACCACAAUUGCCUUUUCUCUCAGAGUUUAAAUUUCAAUAAUCAUUGUUUCACUCUGAUAAUUCCUAACAUUAAGGUGUUUUACAUAAAAAAUAAAGUUUUGAAUUUGUUGAUUCUGCUUUUUAAGUUCUACAUUUUUUUAGGUCUGCCAACUCCAUGCCAUUCAUCUCCUAAUAAGAAAAAAACCAGUUCAUCUGCUCUAGCCACCAUACUUUAGAAUUUAGAAAGUUAAAUAAUAGAGAAAAUAUCAGGAGAGAGAUGGAAAUGAGGCAGAAAGAGUUAGGUCCAGACUCUGACAGCUGUUACUUCCCCUUUUCCUGUUUCAAGCAAUGGCAACCGCAAAACAUUUAAAAAACCUAGUAGCUGCUUUCACAAUGUUAUUGUAUUUAAUCCUGAGAAACCGGUCAAAGAGGCAUUAUUCUCUCUUUUCGACAAAUGAAGAGAGUGAGGUGAGAGAAAUUAAAUAACUCACCCAAGAAGAACAGGGUCAUCCAUGCUGGGACCUGGAAGGAGACAUCACCGCAGCCCCACUGAGCCAGCCUCUUUGGAAGCGCAGCUCCGCCACGUGCAUUGCAACACACAGCUGGGGGCAGAUUGUCGGAAAGUCAUUCUUCAGAAUAAUCCAUGCACUGUCUUCCAUGGACCUGAAGGUCUUCAGCUGAGAUCACCCUUGCCCAUCCGGGCCCCUGAGUGAGUCCUGCAAGGUCCCACUUGUCCAGGACGGAGGUUCAGAUCCUCAUUUAAGGAGAUUCCUGAUGAGAAAAAAAGCAGGAGUGGAUAGCUGUGUUCAAGGUCCCAGAGCCAGGAAGGAUCGGGGGAUGGAUUGGAG
rnacentral:lncRNA from 1 species